CCCUUAGAUGUUCUCGGCCGCACACGCGCUACACUGAAAGAGGCAACGUGUUUGCCUGAUUCGAAAGAAUUGGGUAACCCCCUAAUCUCUUUCGUGCUGGGGAUUGAGGUUUGCAAUUAUCCUUCAUGAACGAGGAAUUCCCAGUAAGUGCGAGUCAUUAUCUCGCGCUGACUACGUCCCUGCCCUUUGUACACACCGCCCGUCGCUACUACCGAUUGAAUGAUUUAGUGAGGACUUCGGACUGAGUCCAAUGCGGCUUUCGGGCUGCGUUGGUAUUCUGGAAAGAUGUCCAAACUGUAUCAUUUAGAGGAAGUAAAAGUCGUAACAA
rnacentral:rRNA from 1 species